GGGCUGCACCUGCAGCAUAUGGAAGUUCCCUGGGCUAGGGGCUGAAUCACAGUUGCAGCUGCUGGCCUAUGCCACAGACACAGCAGAGCCAGAUCUGAGCAGCAUCUGAGACCUAUGCCUCAACACAGGAUCCUUAAUCCACUGAGUGAGGGACCAGGGAUUGAACGCAAAUCCUCACAGUCACUAUGUCAGAUUCUUAACCCACUGAGCUGUGAUGGGAACUCUGAGGUUGUUUUCUUUACCUAAAUGAAUCAUCCUGUGCACACCUUGGGCAGAAGGCUCACUUUUAGAGACCACAAUGCUGGGUGCUGUCCCAGGAAGCCAGUGGAAACAGUAGGGAACAAUUUUGGUGACUGUAUUUGUAGUCUAUUGUCACUGUAACUGAUAAAAGCACUGUAGACGCAAAUUUAGCAGCUAAAACAACACAUUUAUUUUCUCUUGAGCUCCAGGAGUCAGGAGGCCGGGCACAGUAAGGCUCAGUUAUUUCACUCUAAGUGUCUCAAAAGGCUGAAAUCAAGGUGUCCACAGGGUUGUGUUCCUACUUCCUUGCCAGCUGUUGGCCAGGGGUUGGUCUCAGCUUCUAGAUGCUGCUCAUCUUCCCAGGCUUGGGGCCUUUCAUCUUCAAAGCCAGUAAUGGUGGGGUGACACUUUCCCGCUUUGAAUUUCUCUGAUUUCCCUUCUGCCUCAUCUCUGUACAGUCAGACCACUUCUCUAAGACUCGAUGUCUUCAAUAGAAAAAUAGGAACAAUAACACCUACCUCCAAUGACUGGUUGGAGGAUUAAAUGGAUUAAUAGCUAUAAUUGGUAGGGGAGUUCCCGUGGUGGCGCAGUGGUUAACGAAUCCAGCUAGGAACCAUGAGGUUGCGGGUUCGAUCCCUGCCCUUGCGCAGUGGGUUAAGGAUCUGGUGUUGCCGUGAGCUGUGGUGUAGGUUGCAGAUGUGGCUUGGAUCUGGAGUUGCUGUGGCUGUGGUGUAGGCUGGCAGCUGUAGCUCUGAUUGGACCCAUAGCCUGGGAACCUCCAUAUGCUGCUGGUGCAGCCCUAAAAAGAAAAAAAAAAAAACUAUAAAUUAUAAUUAUAAAAUGGGAACAAUAAUAAUAAUAGCAACUACCUUAGGAUUUUGAGAAUUAAAGAAUGCAUGUUGGACACUCAGCAUGAUGCCAGCCUAUAAAUACUGUCUAUUAUUUUAUUGUUGAGCUCAAAAGAAUGAGACUAUGAUCAAUGGGUCAUAAAGCCAAAAAUAUGACAGCCAAUAAUUGUUGCUAGGUCACAGACCUUUUAAGACAAUAAAAAGACUCACAUAUCCCUCAAAAAAUAAUAUACAAGAAGAUUAAAAAUAUCUUAUAAGUCAUUGUAAAUAAUGGGUAUUUUACCUAGUAAUCACUCUAACCCAAUGUUGUCAUUUGUAGGUGGCAGGACUUGGAGCAGUAAUUUAACUAAAAGCAAUGGGUUAUAUGAAUGUGCAGUUCAGCAACUGGCAGUUCUGGAAGAUGCUUCCGGCAGGUGCACUUUCAUCCUGAGAAGAUUUAGUCAGGGCUUAGUUGCCUAGAUUGUUGACACCUGGUGGUUUUUAUAGCACAUGCUCAACUAAGAGUAAUGGCAAAGGAAAGGACCGGGUGUAGACAGAUGCAUUACACUCUGGGCGUGAGUAAACUCUGCAUUAUCCAGCUGCACUUCACACAUUCAAGUAUUAUACACGCUGCAGCAACUGUGCCCCAGUCCUGGCAGAAUUUCAAGAUGCUCUGAACUAGAAUGCCCCCCAAGAGACCUUUUGAGGAACCAAAAGAAAGUAAAAAGAGAGAUUUAAAAUAUCAAAUGCCUUACUGCCUGAUGUGUUACUGUUUAACGGAUGUAAUUUAAAAUGAAAAUCAAAGAACUUUUCCUUUCAAUGUGACAGGCUCUAGGGAAACUCUUCAAAUAGAAAAUAUGAAGCAAAUCCAAGUAAAGAUUCUAGGAGGGAAAAAAAAGAAAGAAAGAAAGAAAACACUGAAGGGAAAGUCGGUGAAAGAAGAAAAACUAUUAAAGAACAGCAAUGGCUGGAAAUUUGGAGGACACUGUUUGACAAAAUUUAAUUUCUUCAUACAACAAAUAUUAACUAAGCACCUACUAUGUGGCAAGCACUAUGCUAGGAGCCCUUAAAGAGCUAACCUCUGGGGAGGAACCAGUAAACAGAGAGGACCAUCUCAUAACAGGGGUAAGUAAAAACAGAACAACAAGGAAAGGAUAGAGGAGGGGCACCCAGCUCUGCGGCAUCAGGGAAGAAGGAAGAUUAACCCAAGGGCACAGACGAUGGUGAACAGGAAAGGGAGAUAGAACUGCCCAGACGUGCAGCUGGGACCCAGGGCAAGUCCCUCCUCUCUGUACCCCAGGUCUCCCAGACACAAAAGAAGGUUCAUGUGAUCAGCCCAGGAAUCAGAGGAAGACUGUAAGCUGAAGGUCAUCUUUAAUUCCUCUCAUUUUUUCAUAUCCUACUUUCAAUCUGUUGAAAACGCCGAUCAGUGCAAUGUUCAAAGUAUAUAUUCAGAAUCUGGCCUCCUCUCACUCCCCCUUCCCGUGGUCUGAGUCAACAUCACCAAUCAUCUGGAUUAUAUGCUAUGGCCUCUAACCAGUCUGCUUCUACACUCCAUUCGCACGAGCUCCUGGAAGGAGCUGCUUCUCCCAGAGAAUGCCAGUCUUCUGUCCAGAAUGCUGCAAUGCUUCCCAGUUGCAUUCAGGCUCACAGAUGCUGCAUGGUCUUUGCCCUGCCCCACCUUCACUCCUGUUCUGCCCGCAACUCCUCUCCAGCCACGCUGGCCUAUUUUCCAUUCUUCCAACACUCCUUCUUUUUUUUUGGCUGUGCCCACAGCAUGCAGAAUUUCCCAGGCAAGGGAUGGAAACCACGCUACAGCAGUAGCCGGAACUGCAGAGUGAUAACACUCAAUCCUUAGCCUGAUGGACCAUUUGGAAACUCCAACACUCUUGACAGGAUCUACCCUCUACUCCAGUGGUUCUCUCUGCCAGAAAGGCUCUUGCCCUGAUUUUACUCUGCUGAUGUUCUCCCUCAAAGCUUUUCCCAAAUUUUGUAACUGAGCAGGACACUGCAAGGCCUUCCCAGGACAGACUCCUUCCUUAUAUCCUUGCUUUUAGCUCCUCCUUGAAGUAGCUAGAUAAUAGUACCUGAGCCACAUUUCCUGAUCUGUUUUACAGAUUCAAAAACCCCCACCACAUGAAAGACAUCAACCACUUAAUGAUCUUGAGCACAAAGCCUCCAGGCCUCCUGGUAUCUAAGGACUGGUAAACUUAAUUCCUGUUAUCUUACCUCCAACCAAUCAGAACUGUGGACGAGCUGAUCACAUACCCUGGGACACCCCCUCCCUACCUUGCCUUUAAAAAUGCUAUGCUGAAACCCAUCAAGGAGUUUGAGUGUUUGAGCUGUAGCUUCCCUAAACUCCUUGCUUGGUGCCCUGCAAUAAAUGUUGCACUUUCCUUCACCACAACCGGCAUUGAUUGGCUUUACUGCAUCCAGGCGCACAAACCCAAGUUUGGUUCCGUCACAAUUUCACCUUUUCUGUGAGGUCUACUCUGACCACCUCGGAAACCCUAUACUCCAGAUCCUCCCGAUUAUCUGAUAAUUUACUCCUUUGUUUUGUGUACUGUUUACCGUCUCCCUUCUCCCCUCUAGAAUUAAUGUUCCAAGAGGGCAAGUACCAUGACUUUGUUAAUCACUAGCCACUGCCAACAGUACAUGGUACACAAUAGGCACCUAAUACAUAGUUGCUGAAUGAGUAGAUACAUUAACUGAGAGAGAGAUACAAAAGCAAGCAAAUCGCAGGAUCUGUUGGUAAGACCCCUGGUCACCCCCUCCUCAGCAUCUCACUGUGCAGCUUAAUAGAAGAUAAGAGAGAAGGCUGGGCUUUCACAGAGCCAGAGAGCAUCACAGGAUGGAAAAUAUUCACACAGGGUGUCUGAAAGAGGAUUCUAGUUUGAUUUUGUCACUAUCAUGUGACCUGGACCUCAACUGUCUUGUUUAUAAAGAAAAGGUUAAGGUAGACCAUGGAAAGGAAAACCUCUACCCUCAGGCCAAACCCAGUCACCUCCUGCUUCUAUAAAUCAAAUUUUACUAAAAUACAGCCAUGCCCAUUCAUUCAUGUAUUGUCUUUGGUUGCUUAAUACCAUGGCAGAACUGAGCAGUCAUGACAGAUAGAGUCUGCAGAGACUAAAACAUUUAUAUAUCCCACCCUUCACAGAAAAAGUUUGCCAACCCUGGGGCUGGACCACCAGAAUGUAAGAGCCAGAAAAGCAGACUGUUCCAUGCACUGCCCUUCCUCCAGCAUUUAGACCAGUGGCCGGUAUUCAGUACAUAUUUCAAGAACUCAAGAGGUUUUCAGGCUGCCUCCCUGAGGCUUGAGUAGGUUAAACACAAUAGCAGUAGUUGAUAGAAGGUACCACUUGCAAGGCAGAGACAGCCUAAGCAGUUAACUUACAUCAACUUCUUUCUUUAAACCUGACACCAGUCCCAUUAGACAAGUUUAUUCUUAUCAUCCAGCAUUGUAUUAGAUGGAGAAACUGAGGCAAGAGGAGAUUAAGUACCUUGCCCUUCUAAGUAAGUGGGACAACUUGGGACCUGAACCCAACCUGUCACAGUUCGUACCUUUCUCUAAAAAAUUUUAUGGCCUCACCUGGGCAUAUGGAAGUUUCUGGGUUAAGAACUGAAUCCAAGCCACAGCUGCGGCCUAGGUCACAGCUGCAUCAUCACCAGAUCCUUUAACCCACUGCACUGGGCCAGCAACCCAACCUGCAACUCUGCAGCAACCCAAGCCUCUGCAGUUGGAUUUUAACUCACCGUGCCACAGUGGGAAUUCCCAGAGUGCAUAUUUUUUUUUUUUUUUUGCUUUUUUUUUUUUUGCUUUUUGCUUUUUAGGGUCACACUUCCCUGACUAGGAGUCAAAUUGGAGCUAUAGCUGCCGGCCUACACCCCAGCCAGAGCAAUAUGGGAUCCUUAACCCACUGAGCAAGGCCAAGGAGAAAACCCACAUCCUCAUGGAUACUAGUUGGCUUGUUUCCGCUGAGCCACAACAGGAACUCCUC
rnacentral:lncRNA from 1 species